rnacentral:tRNA from 4 species
AGGGGUGUAGCUCAAUUGGCAGAGCGGCGGUCUCCAAAACCGUAGGCUGAGGGUUCGAGUCCUUCCACCCCUGCUA